rnacentral:rRNA from 1 species
GACGAACGCUGGCGGCGUGCCUAACACAUGCAAGUCGAGCGGAGAUGAUGUGAGGAAGUUUUCGGAUGGAAUCACAUUAUUUUAGCGGCGGACGGGUGAGUAACGCGUGAGCGACCAACCUUGCACAGGGGGAUAACGGACCGAAAGGUUCACUAAUACCGCAUGAGACCACGGUGUUGCAUGACACAGAGGUCAAAGGAGCAAUCCGGUGCAAGACGGACUCGCGUCCGAUUAGGGAGUUGGAGGGGUAACGGCCCACCAAGCCUAUGACCGGUAGCCGACCUGAGAGGGUGAUCGGCCACAUUGGAACUGAGAUACGGUCCAAACUCCUACGGGAGGCAGCAGUGGGGAAUAUUGGGCAAUGGGGGAAACCCUGACCCAGCAACGCCGCGUGAAGGAAGAAGGUUUUCGGAUUGUAAACUUCUGUCCUUGGUGAAGAGAAGAAGACGGUAGCCAAGGAGGAAGCCCCGGCUAACUACGUGCCAGCCGCCGCCGUAA